rnacentral:rRNA from 1 species
GACGAACGCUGGCGGCGUGCUUAACACAUGCAAGUCGAACGGUGAAGCGCCUUCCUUUUUGGUGGGUGUGGAUGAGUGGCGAACGGGUGAGUAACACGUGAGUAACCUGCCCCCUUCUUCUGGAUAACCGCAUGAAAGUGUGGCUAAUACGGGAUAUUCUGGGUCUGUCGCAUGAUGGGUCUGGGAAAGAUAUUGUUUCGGUGGGGGAUGGGCUCGCGGCCUAUCAGCUUGUUGGUGGGGUGAUGGCCUACAAAGGCGGGGACGGAUGCCCGGCCUGAGAGGGUGGACGGUCACACGGGGAAUGAGAAACGGCCCAGACUCCUACGGGAGGCAGCAGUGGGGAAUAUUGCACAAUGGGCGCAGGCCUGAUGCAGAGACGCCGCGUGAGGGAUGGAGGCCUUCGGGUUGUGAACCUCUUUCGCCAGUGAAGCAGGCCUGCCUCGUUUGUGGGUGGGUUGACGGUAGCUGGAUAAGAAGCGCCGGCUAACUACGUG